GAAAAACCAGAAAGCUUUGCAGGACCUUGCUGUCUGGAACUCUGCUUUUUCACUCUUAUUCCCAGGUGGGGAAGUCUCAGGCUUUUAGUGAGCUGAAGAGAUGGUUAAGUGUUUUACAGCAGCAUUUACCCAGCCCUGAACUGAAGCCCCGACUCACCUCUGGACCUCUGUAGCUGCAGAAUUUCAGAUCUCACCCUCCCAGGAAUUUCAGGAGGGUAACAUCUGGGUUCAAAAUUAACCAUCACAGUGGUUCUCACAUUCAAAAUCCUGUUAUUUGAUCUCAAUCCAGUGUUCUUGUCUGUACAGAGAGCCACCAGCCAGAAAGUGUGCACUUAAAAUAGCUCAGCCACUAAAGGGUGGGAGCUGGAAGCUGGACAGGGGUGGCUUUUUGAACCACUGCCCAGCCCCAAGGGACCAGGCUGCUGUUUCCAGUCCACUUCAGGACAAAGUCAGCAAGAAAAUGAACAUCUCUGUCACCAGGAGAAGAGACUCAUCCCUCCGUCAUGCACUUGAUACCAACAGAGGUCCCUCAGGCAGCCAAGGUUAAGGGGAUGGGUAACAACAG
rnacentral:lncRNA from 1 species